UACUCUUCUCUGAUCAAACCUCUAACCCACCCACCGUCCAGAUCCACAACUCCCAUGUCCCUCACCCAUUCAACCUUUUAAUUAAUCAAACAAGAAAUCAACACCCAUUCAACCUUUUAAUUGAUCGAACAAGAAAACAACUUAAAUCGUCCAAAUCCAAACCUCCGAUCUCACCCCUUCAACCGGACGAGCAGUUGGCGGUGGUGUUGCGACUGCACACGGCGGCAUGUGAACAAGUUGUGGAGGUGGAGUUUACGAGGCAGAGAGAGAGAGAGAGAGAGAGAGAGAGAGAGGCGACAUCAACUGCACAUCUUCUAAGUCUGUUUGUUUUGGUUCAAGUUUUGGAUCUGGCGGAUCUACAUCUUCUGGUUCGAGUUUUAAAUCCUAUUGAUGAACAUCUGGGUGGGUUGGUGGUGAUCUCGUCUCGAUUUGUUAUGUAAUUUCGUUAGAAUUUUGGACUCAAUCGGCCACCACUUCACCGUCGGCAACGCCCUGUUGAGUGGAAUUUGAGUAAAUUAUGAUUGUUUAGGAUGAUAGGUUGAAGGUGUAGAUUGCAAAUUGGGUUUGAUGGAGGUGGUAGUGGUGGUGGCUAGCGGAGAAGAAAAACACAAGGAAUAGGCGUUUUUUUCUUAAUAAUAUAUGUAUACUUUUAAUAAAAGGUUAUGGUAAAUGACCGAAAUACCCUCAUGUGCAUUGCACAAAUGCACAUGAUCAGACUUAACUUAAGAUUUUAACUAGGUUACUGCUAAAGAACCUAGGGUGUAACGAGUUAUCCAAAUAAAUGAUUGUGACUGUAAUUAUUGAAGUUAAAGCUUAUCCAUUGCAAUUCCAUACAAACAUAAAGGACGAAAAAAAUGUAAUUUACCCUAUUGUGAAUGAGUAAUCUUCUUUUAUUAUAUUAUAAUGCAUAAGGGAUGGGCAUUUUAAGAUACCCAAAAAAAUAAGAACUUCU
rnacentral:lncRNA from 1 species